GACUUCUGGUUUAAUGUGCCUGGCCCGCGGUCGCAAGACAUGUGAGUGCCGGUGCGCGUUUACCAUCCUUCCAGGAAACGUGCCUUGCCCUUAACUGGGUGUGGUACGGGAUCUGGAUCAUUUACUUUGAAAAAAUUAGAGUGUUUAAAGCAGGCUUAUGCCAUGAAUACAUUAGCAUGGAAUAAUAAUCUAGGACUUCGGUUCUAUUUUGUUGGUUUCUAUAACUGAAGUAAUGAUUGAUAGGGACAGUUGGGGGUGCUAGUAUUGGCCGGUCAGAAAGCAUU
rnacentral:rRNA from 1 species